rnacentral:misc_RNA from 1 species
ACUCUUCAACCCCACUGUUUGUUAUGAACAGUAGGAGUUUGGAUCUUGAAUGCUUGUUGGCUACUUUGUAGCGUGAACUCAUUCGUAAUGCAUUAGCAUCCUACCUUCAAUUUCCGGAUUGACUCGGCGUAAUAGACUAUUCGCUGAGGACACUUUUUCGAAAGUGGCCGGUUUUGAGACUUGGAAGCUUCCAACCGUCUUUAAUUAUUUUUUAAG